rnacentral:tRNA from 1 species
AUUUUAAUAGUUUAAAUUAAAAUUUUGAUUUUGUAAUUCAAAGAUAAAUAUAACAAAUAUUUUAAAAUC